ensembl:lncRNA
AUGAAGUCUUACUGUGUGGCUCAGGCUGGUCUCAAACUCCUGGCCUCAAGCAGUCCUCCUGCCUCAGCCACCCAACGUGCUGGGAUUACGGGUGUGAGCCACUGUGCCCCUACAACAAUAAUUUUUGAAAAAGGAAAUAACAAGUGUUGCUCAGGAUGUGAAAAACUAGAGUCUUCAUACAUUAUUGGUAGAAAUGUAAAAUGGUACAGCAGCUAUGGAAAACAGUUUGGCAUUUCUUUAAUAAGACAAACCAAAUUACCAAAUGACCCAGCAACACCAUUCCCAGGCAUAAACCCCAAAUCACUGAAAACAGGUGUUGAAAGAAAAACGUGUACAUGAAUGUUCAUAGCAGCACUAUUCACAAUCCCAAAAGGUAAAAAACAACCCAAAUGUCCAUCAAUGGACAAAAAGAUAACAAAAUGUGGUAUAUUCAUACAAUAAUACAUAUUAUAUUAUUCAGCUAUGAAAAAGAAUGAAGUACUGAUACUGAUACAUGCUACAAUAUGGUUGAACCUUGAAAACAUUGUGCCAAGUGAGAGAAGCUAAAAGGUUACAUAUGAUUCCAUUUAUAUGAAAUAUCCAUAAUAGGCAAACUGAUAGAGACAGAAAGUCAACUGGUGAUUCCUUAGGGCUGAGGGAAUGGGGGAGUUGGGGAGAGGGAAAUAUCUAAAGAGUUUGGAGUUUCUUCUGAGGCAAUGAAAAUGUUCUAAAAUUGACUGUGGUGACGGUUGCACAUAUCUGUGACUAUACUAAAUACCAUAGAAUUACACUUUUUUUUUUUUUUUCGAGACAGGGUCUGGCUUUGUGGCCCAGGCUGGAGUAUAGUAGCAUAAUCUCAGCUCACUGCAAACUCCGCCUCCUAGGCUCAAGCGAUCCUCCCACCUCAGUCUCCACAAUAGCUGGGACUGCAGGCAUACACCAACACAUUCAGCUAAUUUUUGUAUUUUUGGUAGAAAUGGGGUUUCACCAUGUCACCCAGGCUGGCCUUGAACUCCUGGACAUAUGCGAUCUGACUGACUCAGCCUCCCAGAGUGCUGGGAUCACAGGCUUCAGCCACACACCCGGCUGAAUUACACACUUUAAAUGAGUAAAUUGUAUGGUAUGUCAAUUAUAUUUCAAUAAAGUUGUUUUUUUGUUUUGUUUUGUUCGGGAAAAUUGUUUUUUGUUUGUUUUGUUUUUUGUUUUGAGACAGAGUUUCACUCUUGUCACCCAGGCUGGAGUGGAAUGGCGGGAUCUCAGCUAACUGCAACCUCCACCUCCCAGGUUCAAGCAAUUCUCCUGCCUCGAUCUCCUGAGUAGCUGGGAUUACAGGCACCCACCACCAUGCCCAGCUAAUCUUUGUAUUUUUAGUAGAGAUGGGGUUUCACCAUGUUGGCCAGGCUGGUCUGAACUCCUGACCUCAGGUGAUCCACCCGCCUCAGUCUGCAAAGGUGCUUGGAUUACAGGCGUGAGUCGCCGCGCCCAGCCUGUCAAUAAAGCUGUUUUAAAAAAGACAUAGGAUUUGGUAAUAUCAGCUAAGAGCUGAAUGCAAACUCUAUGACCCAGCAAUCCUAGUCCUAGGUUUUUAUCCAGCAAAAAAAUUGUACACAUGUUCAUCCAAAGACAUGUACAAGAAUGUUCAUGGUAGUAAAAUUUAAAAUAACUCUGGCCUGGGUGCGGUGGCUCAAGCCUGUAAUCCCAGCACUUUGGGAGGCCAAGGUGGGCGGAUCACCUGGGUUCGGGAGUUUGAGCCCAGCCUGACCACCAUGGAGAAAUCCCAUCUCUACUAAAAAUACAAAAAAUUAGCCAGGCGCGGUGGCAGGUGCCUGUGAUCCCACCUACUCGGGAGGCUAAGGUAGGAGAAUUGUUUGAACCCAGGAGGUGGAGGUUGCAAUGAGCCGAGAUCACACCAUUGCACUCCAGCCUGGGCAACAAGAGCAAAACUCCCAUCUAAAAAAAAAAAAAGAAAGAAAAACAAAACAAAAAAGCUCCGGCUAGGUGUGGUGGCUGAUGCCUGUAAUCCUACCACUUUGGGAGGCCAAGGCACGCGGAUUGCCUGAGCUCAGGAGUUCAGGACCAGCCUGGGCAACACAGUGAAACCUUGUCUCUACUAAAAAAUACAAAAUAAAUUAACCGGGCGUGGUGGCAUACACCUGUAGUCCUAGCUACACGGGAGGCUGAAGUCAGAGAAUUGCUUGAACCCAGGAGGCAAAAGUUGCAGUAAGCCAAGAUCGCACUAUUGCACUCCAGCCUGGGCGACAGAGCAAGACUCCAUCUCUAAAAAAUAAAAUAAAAUAAGAUAAAAUAAAAUAGCUCCUAAGUGGAAACCCGCAUGCCCAUUAACAGUAGAAUGGAUAAAUUAUGGUGUAUUCAAACAAUAAAAUGCUGGCCAGGUGUGGUGGCUCACAUCUGUAAUCCCAGCACUCUGGGUGGCAGAGGUGGGAGGAUCACUUGAGCCCAGGAGUUUGAGACCAAGCUGGGCAACAUGGUGAAACCCCGUCUCUACAAAAAAUACAAAAAUUAGCGUGGUGUGAUGGCAUGCACCUGUGGUCCUAGCUACUAGGGAGGCUGAGGCAGAAAGAUUACUUGAGCGUGAGAGGUUAAGGCUGCGGUGACCUGUGAUUGCAACACUGCACUCCAGCCUGGGUGACAGAGCAAGACUCUCUCAAAAAAAUAAAAAAUAAAUAAUGAGAUGCUACCCAGCAAUGAAAAUGAACAUGCUACAACUACAUGCAACAAUGUAGAUGAAUCUAUAAGUUUAACUCCUGGUGAGACUAAUCAAUGGAGUUAGAAGUCAAAAUACUGUUUACCCUUGGAGGCUGUGGGUAAUGACUAGAAGGGGCUUCUUUGGGGCUGAAUGUUCUAUUUCUUGAUUUCAGUGUUAGACAUGUGUGUUGGCUUUGUAGAAAUUCAUCAGGCUUUAUACUUAUGAUUUCUGUACUUUUAUGUCUUUAUAUUAUACUCUAAUAAAAAGCUUUACAAUUUCAGAAUAUUUUUGAAAACAGAUUUUUUUCUCCCCCACCCCCACCUUUGUGUGUGUGUAUGUGGUCACUUGAUACUCUUCCAUUUUUUUUUUUUUUUUUUGAGACGGAGUCUCGCUGUGUCGCCCAGGCUGGAGUACAGUGGCCGGAUCUCAGCUCACCGCAAGCCCCACCUCCCGGGUUUACGCCAUUCUCCUGCCUCAGCCU